rnacentral:rRNA from 1 species
GACGAACGCUGGCGGCGUGCUUAACACAUGCAAGUCGAACGAAGUGGCGAACGGGUGAGUAACGCGUAAUCAACCUGCCCUUCAGAGGGGGACAACAGUUGGAAACGACUGCUAAUACCGCAUACUGAAGGAGGGGAUUGCGUCUGAUUAGCUAGUUGGAGGGGUAACGGCCCACCAAGGCGAUGAUCAGUAACCGGUCUGAAGGGGUUGACAGCCACAUUGGGACUGGAACACGGCCCUGACUCCUACGGGGAGCAGCAGUGGGGGAUCUUCCGCAAUGGACGAAAAUCUGACGGAGCAACGCCGCGUGGGUGAUGGCGGCCUUCGGGUUGUAAAGCUCUGUUAAUCGGGACGCGGUACCGGAAUAGAAAGCCACGGCUAACUACGUGCCAGCAGCCGCGGUAAUAC